rnacentral:rRNA from 1 species
GACGAACGCUGGCGGCGUGCUUAACACAUGCAAGUCGAACGGAAAGGCCUGCUUUCCCUUGUGGAUUGCGGGUACUCGAGUGGCGAACGGGUGAGUAACACGUGAGUGAUCUGCCCCCAACUUGGGUAUAAGCCUGGGAAACUGGGUCUAAUUCCCGAUAGGACUGCAGGGUGGUGCCUGUGGUGGAAAACGAUUUUCUAGUGGUUGGGGAUGAGCUCGCGGCGUAUCAGCUUGUUGGUGGGGUAAUGUCCUACCAAGGCGGCGACGGGUAGCCGGCCUGGGAGGGUGGACAGCCACAGUGGGACUGAGAGACGGCCCAGACGCCUACGGGAGGCAGCAGUGGGGAAGAUUGCGCAGGGGGCGGAAGCCUGAUGCAGCGACGCCGCGUGGGGGAUGACGGCCUUCGGGUUGUAAACUCCUUGCGACCGCGAGGAAGCCACCUGGUUGGAAGGGUGGUGACGGUAGUGGUAGAAGAAGCACCGGCUAACUACGUG